rnacentral:lncRNA from 1 species
GCUAGAAUUGAUUUAUAAGUUUUAAGAAAUAUUUGUCUGAAUAUAAAGGCUUCGGCAAAAUAGCGAUUAAUAUUAUAUAGAGUUUUGCUAUUUUGCCGGUUUUAUUUCAGAUUUAUAAUCGGCAAGAGAACAUGUUUAACCCCGCCAUAUUCUGCAUGUAUGUGCCUGUUCCAAGUCAGGAGCCCGUAAUUCAGUGAUUUUCUUUUGUUGAUGUGUAACAUAAAAUAUUUGUUUUUCUUUCAUUUUUUGUACAUAAAUUAGGCCGUUGAAUUGUUUUACAUUUGUUAUUCUGGGAGUCAGGAUGGCUCGUUAUCACAUAACAAAAUUAGCUGACCUCAUUAACCAAAUGUAAUAUUUGUUUACGAGUAGUUUUCAUACCUCGGAC